rnacentral:rRNA from 1 species
GACGAACGCUGGCGGCGUGCCUAAUACAUGCAAGUCGAACGCUUCUUUCCUCCCGAGUGCUUGCCCUCAAUUGGAAAGAGGAGUGGCGGACGGGUGAGUAACACGUGGGUAACCUACCCAUCAGAGGGGGAUAACACUUGGAAACAGGUGCUAAUACCGCAUAACAGUUUAUGCCGCAUGGCAUAAGAGUGAAAGGCGCUUUCGGGUGUCGCUGAUGGAUGGACCCGCGGUGCAUUAGCUAGUUGGUGAGGUAACGGCUCACCAAGGCCACGAUGCAUAGCCGACAGGAGAGGGGGAUCGGACACACGGGGACGGAGACACGGCCCAGACUCCUACGGGAGGCAGCAGUAGGGAAUGUUCGGCAAUGGACGAAAGUCUGACCGAGCAACGCCGCGUGAGUGAAGAAGGUGUUCGGAUCGUAAAACUCUGUUGUUAGAGAAGAACAAGGACGUUAGUAACUGAACGUCCCCUGACGGUAUCUAAACAGAAAGCCACGGCUAACUACGUG